rnacentral:rRNA from 1 species
CCUACGGGUGGCAGCAGUAGGGAAUAUUGCUCAAUGGGGGAAACCCUGAAGCAGCAACGCCGCGUGGAGGAUGAAGGUUUUCGGAUUGUAAACUCCUUUUGUUAGAGAAGAUAAUGACGGUAUCUAACGAAUAAGCACCGGCUAACUCCGUGCCAGCAGCCGCGGUAAUACGGAGGGUGCAAGCGUUACUCGGAAUCACUGGGCGUAAAGAGCGCGUAGGCGGGAUAGCAAGUCAGAUGUGAAAUCCUAUGGCUUAACCAUAGAACUGCAUUUGAAACUGUUAUUCUAGAGUAUGGGAGAGGUAGGUGGAAUUCUUGGUGUAGGGGUGAAAUGCGUAGAGAUCAAGAGGAAUACUCAUGGCGAAGGCGACCUGCUAGAACGUAACUGACGCUGAUGCGCGAAAGCGUGGGGAGCAAACAGGAUUAGAUACCCGAGUAGUC